UAUAAGCUUUUAUACGGCUAAACUGCGAAUGGCUCAUUAAAACAGUUAUAGUUUAUUUGAUGGUCUUUACUACAUGGAUAACCGUGGUAAUUCUAUGGCUAAUACAUGCGCACAUGCCUCUUCCUCUGGAAGGGCAGUGUUUAUUAGAUACAGAACCAACCCACCUUCCGGUGGUCCUCAGGUGAUUCAUAGUAACCGAACGGAUCGCGUUGACUUCGGUCUGCGACGGAUCGUUCAAGUUUCUGACCUAUCAGCUUUCGACGGUACUGUAUUGGACUACCGUGGCAGUG
rnacentral:rRNA from 1 species